rnacentral:tRNA from 1 species
GCUGGUGUGGCUCAGUGGAUAGAGCAUCAGCCUGCAGACUGAGGGUCUCAGGUUUGAUUCCGGUCAAGGGCA